GAGAAGUGGAUCGACGGGCGCUUGGAGGAGCUGUACCGCGGCAGGGAGGCAGACAUGCCUGACGAGGUGAACAUUGAUGAACUGUUGGAACUCGAGAGUGAAGAGGAGAGAAGCCGCAAAAUCCAGGGACUCCUGAAGUCGUGCACGAACCCCACAGAGGUGA